GAUCAUAUCUUUAGAAAAAUGCAUGUUAGAUGUUAUCUUUGAUAACUGGUUUAUAGAUUAGUAACCGCGUAAAAUAAAUGUAAAUUCAUACAUAGUAAAGUGUUGUAGAGCGACCGGUUCAAGUCAUAAUACUUGGUCAACACGCCAAGUCGUGAGAUGCGCCGGGAAAAUCCGACCUAAGUGAUGAACUACUGAGUCAUGUCAUGACCACGUCGUCGUAACCAAGUGUAUAUAUACUCCCUCUACUUUACCCAUCAUAACCAUAACUCCUAAUUUUCUUUCUUAAUUAAACACCAAAAAAUAAUUCUUUCUCAGGAAAUAAUUAUCUUUACCUGUUUAUUUCGAAGCUCUUGUUUUUCUUGUUGUCG
rnacentral:lncRNA from 1 species